CAAAAGUGAAAUUAAUCUGCAUUGGUUGCUACUUCUAACGUGUUUAGUGCUAAUCUACAAAUUGAAUUCUUCAAGCUUUAGCAACAAAAGAUUUGUCGUGUGGCCAAUACCCCACAAGAUCCUCGUGCGAGACGAUUAAGAUAGGGCCAAUAGAUUGCUAUUGGUGGCACACUGCGUAAGGAGAGGCAUAACCUUGUUAUCAGUAGAAUAACCCGUGAAAAUUAUUGUAAGUAGAUUUAAGGGUUUGGUUUACUUGUUACUAAAAUAAAAUAUUUGAGUUUGAGUCGCGCAAAAGCAAACCGACUGCGAAAAGUU